rnacentral:rRNA from 1 species
UACGGAGGGGGCUAGCGUUGUUCGGAAUUACUGGGCGUAAAGCGCGUGUAGGUGGAUUGGUGUGUCAGAUGUGAAAGCCCUGGGCUCAACCCAGGAACUGCACCUGAAACUACCAGUCUUGAGUGGUGGAGAGGGAAGUGGAAUUCCUGGUGUAGAGGUGAAAUUCGUAGAUAUCAGGAGGAACACCAGUGGCGAAGGCGGCUUCCUGGACACUAACUGACGCUGAGACGCGAAAGCGUGGGGAGCAAACAGG